rnacentral:rRNA from 1 species
UACGUAGGUGGCAAGCGUUGUCCGGAAUUAUUGGGCGUAAAGCGCGCGCAGGUGGUUUCUUAAGUCUGAUGUGAAAGCCCACGGCUCAACCGUGGAGGGUCAUUGGAAACUGGGGAACUUGAGUGCAGGAGAGAAGAGUGGAAUUCCACGUGUAGCGGUGAAAUGCGUAGAGAUGUGGAGGAACACCAGUGGCGAAGGCGACUCUUUGGCCUGUAACUGACACUGAGGCGCGAAAGCGUGGGGGAGCAAACAGG